GACGUAGGGCGCGAGCGUUGUCCGGAUUUAUUGGGCGUAAAGAGCUCGUAGGCGGCUUGUCGCGUCGUCCGUGAAAACCUGCAGCUCAACUGCAGGCUUGCGGUCGAUACGGGCAGGCUAGAGUUCGGUAGGGGAGACUGGAAUUCCUGGUGUAGCGGUGAAAUGCGCAGAUAUCAGGAGGAACACCGGUGGCGAAGGCGGUUCUCUGGGCCUGUACUGACGCUGAGGAGCGAAAGCGUGGGGAGCGAACAGG
rnacentral:rRNA from 1 species